UGGGGAAUUUUGGACAAUGGGCGAAAGCCUGAUCCAGCAAUGCCGCGUGAGUGAAGAAGGCCUUCGGGUUGUAAAGCUCUUUUGUCAGGGAAGAAACGGUGAAAGCUAAUAUCUUUUGCUAAUGACGGUACCUGAAGAAUAAGCACCGGCUAACUACGUGCCAGCAGCCGCGGUAAUACGUAGGGUGCAAGCGUUAAUCGGAAUUACUGGGCGUAAAGCGUGCGCAGGCGGUUUUGUAAGCCUGAUGUGAAAUCCCCGGGCUCAACCUGGGAAUUGCAUUGGAGACUGCAAGGCUAGAAUCUGGCAGAGGGGGGUAGAAUUCCACGUGUAGCAGUGAAAUGCGUAGAUAUGUGGAGGAACACCGAUGGCGAAGGCAGCCCCCUGGGUCAAGAUUGACGCUCAUGCACGAAAAGCGUGGGGAGCAAACAGGAUUAGAUACCCUGGUAGUCCACGCCCUAAACGAUGUCUACUAGUUGUCGGGUCUUAAUUGACUUGGUAACGCAGCUAACGCGUGAAGUAGACCGCCUGGGGAGUACGUCGCAAGAUUAAAACUCAAAUGAAUUGAC
rnacentral:rRNA from 1 species